CCUAACGUCCGGCCACCCCAUUGAUCAUCAAUGUAAACUAUCUCCGUCGUAAUUGCAAGCCACCGUUAUGAUUUCAAUUUCGGAGAAGAGAUUACGGGACAAUAAUUACUUAGUCGGUUUACGUUUCGAAAUUAAUUUGACGAUGGCCGCAGAACAAAUCCUACUCGCCCACCUAGUUCCUCCCCUGGAGGGCUUUUUGGAAUUCAUCUGGGUACCGCUGUCAGAGGUGAUUUAUGGCAAAGAAGGAGUAUCCCUAUCUAGAGUACAGGUGUGAUUUAUUGAAGUUUGGACGUGUGAUGACGGAUGAGCUUAGAGCAGACAUAACACAAGAGAAACUAGUUUUGAUCCAGAGAACACCAUUUGGGAGCUUGUUUAUGGCGUAUUACAAUGGUACAUUAAUAGAAUCUGCUUGCAAAAAAUCUGAUUUGGAAAUAGUGGCUCUCUUGAAGUGUUUUAACCAGCAAAACAAAAGUUUUAAUUUUGGGGAGUUCACCGGUACUAUAACCAGCAAAGACAUCUCUGAGUUGUUUGGCUUAACACUCAUGGGGGAAGAAAUUAACCUAGAUCAGAAGAAGAAGAAAGAGGAUAGAGGUAACAAAAAAAUAUAGGCAACAAGGAGUGCACUACCUUAACAAUUCGACUCCGGAAAAGUGUUUUGAUGGGUUCAAAGAUUGUGUCGUCAGUUGUAGCAGACCAAAUUCGAAGCAAACCAUUGAUGAAGCCUAUUGAAAUCGUAAAAGAUUUCAAGCACAACUAUGGAUUGGAUAUAUCUUAUUAUAAUGCAUGGAACGGUAAAGAGUUGGCAAAAAUUCAAGUUCACGGCGAUGAGGAAUCGUCGUAUACUCAGUUGCUAUGGUAUGUUGAUGCAUUGAUGAAGACAAACCAGACUCUUCAUAUCAUACCAUGCCUCCAUAGAAGGUUACAAAUUUUGCAGACCAUUCCUUUGUCUUGAUGGAUCCCAUAUAAAAAAUAAAUACAAAGGACAUUUGCUGGGCGCAACUGGGAAUAAUGGUAACCAAGGUAUAUAUCCCCUGGCUUUUGCUAUAGUUGACUCUGAAGAUGAAAGUACCACUGUCAGAGGUAAGGUCUGGGUUCUUUCUUGUCUGAAUUCAUCGGGUGUACAGUUAUGCCUCUGGUCUAGGUG